GUAGGGCUGUUGACGUGUUUUUCUGUCUAGUUUCAUCAUGGGCUCAGGACAAGUUUUGCAAGAUAGUGAAGCCCCUAGCUGGGGCUUCCCUAGGGGCACAGUGGUAAAGUAUCCACCCUGGGUCAGGAAGAUCCCCUGGAGGAGGGAAUGUCAACCUGAUCCAGUAUUCUUGCCUGGAGAAUCCCAUGGACAGAGGAGCCUGGUGGGCUACUGCCAACGGGUUUGCAAAGAGUCAGAAACGACUGAAGUGACUGAGCACGUACUUGCAUGCAUGAAGCCCUUGCUGUGCCUUAGACUGGUUCAGAGGACACUCACGCUUCCUCUAACUCAGUGGUUGGCUUUCCAAGGGUGGUCCUGGGACCAGCAGCAUCAGGAUCACCUGGGAGUUGUUAGAAAGGCAAAUUCUGGGACUCCCUCAGGCUAACUGAAUUAGCAGCAAUCUGAAUUUUAGAUGAAUCCGAGAAACACUGCUCUCGUAGGUGCUCAGGUGAAAGGUGUAAAGGGUUGGACGCAAGAGCUGAUAGGCUCUCUGGGCUACAGUGAGAGUGGUGGGCAGGCUAGUGAGGUGUGUCCUGGCCUGUUUGGAGUGUUGGCUGUGAAGAGCCACUAAGGUGUCUGUCCAGAACAUGCUGCUUCCUGGGAAGAGGAGGUCCGUCCUGAAGCAGGAACCUUGGCAGCCAGGGAUAACAGAUCUAAAUCCCUUCCACUUGCUUUUAUGAAACAGAAGCAUUUAAUGGGAAGACCUACCGAGCUGCUUUGGAAGAGAAAGGCCAGAACUACAUUAAAUCAUGCAGAAUGAGACAGAUACAGAUAUGGAUGGCCAGUGUGUACAUAGUCGUUCAGUCAUGUCCGACUCUUUGUGAUCUCAUGGACUGUAACCUGCCAAGCUCCUCUGUCCAUGGAAUUUUCUGAGCAAGAAUACUGGACUGGGUUGCCAUUUCCUACUUCAGAGGACCUUCCUGACCCAGGGGUUGAACCCAUGUCUCCUGCAUUGGCAGGCGGAUUCUUUACCACUCACACCACCUGGGAGGCCCACAAAUGGCCAGAGUGGGCUCAAUGGCCCAAGAUCACACAGUAAAGGGUUGAUGCUGA